rnacentral:rRNA from 1 species
GGCUCAGGACGAACGCUUGCGGCGUGCCUAAGAAAUGCAAGUCGAGCGGGGUGAGAGAGCUUGCUCUCGAACCUAGCGGCGAACGGUCGCGUAACACGUAAGCAACCUGCCCCGAAGACCGGGACAACAUUCCGAAAGGAGUGCUAAUACCGGAUGUGGCCAUCUGGGGACAUCCCCGGGUGAUUAAAGCCUGUACAAGGGCUUCGGGAGGGGCUUGCGGCCUAUCAGCUAGUUGGUGGGGUAACGGCCUACCAAGGCGACGACGGGUAGCGGGUCUGAGAGGACGAUCCGCCGGACUGGGACUGAGAUACGGCCCAGACUCCUACGGGGGGCAGCAAUUAGGAAUCUUGCACAAUGGGGGAAACCCUGAUGCAGCGACGCCGCGUGGGUGAGGAAGGCCUUCGGGUUGUAAAGCCCUUUUACGGGGGAAGAAACAAAUGACGGUACCCCGGGAAUAAGCUCCGGCUAACUACGUGCCAGCAGCCGCGGUAAUACGUAGGGAGCGAGCGUUGUCCGAAGUUACUGGGCGUAAAGCGCGCGUAGGCGGGCUGUUAAGUGAGAGGUGAAAGGCUGGGGCUCAACCCCAUGCAGUGCCUCUCAUACUGGCGGUCUUGAGUGCGGCAGGGAGAAGUGGAAUGGCUGGUGUAGCGGUGAAAUGCGUAGAUAUCAGUCGGAACACCGGUGGCGAAGGCGGCUUCUUGGGCCUGGACUGACGCUGAGGCGCGAAAGCUGGGGGAGCGAACGGGAUUAGAUACCCCGGUAGUCCCAGCCGUAAACGAUGGAUACUAGGUGUCGGGGGUAUCGACCCCUCCGGUGCCGCAGCUAACGCAUUAAGUAUCCCGCCUGGGGAGUACGGCCGCAAGGUUGAAACU